rnacentral:rRNA from 1 species
UACGUAGGGUGCAAGCGUUGUCCGGAAUUAUUGGGCGUAAAGAGCUCGUAGGCGGUUCGGCAAGUCGGAUGUGAAAUCUCCACGCUUAACGUGGAGGGGCCAUUCGAAACUGCUGUGACUCGAGUCCGGUAGGGGAGUGUGGAAUUCCCGGUGUAGCGGUGAAAUGCGCAGAUAUCAGGAAGAACACCCGUGGCUAAGGCGGCUCUCUAGUACGGUACUGACGCUGAGACGCGAAAGCGUGGGGAGCGAACAGG